rfam:Otolemur garnettii contig117346, whole genome shotgun sequence.
GCCAGGCACGGUGGCACAUGCCUAUAGUCUCAGCUACUCAGGAGACUGAGACAGAAGGAUCACUUGAGUCCAGGAGUUCUGGGCUGUAGUAUGCCAUGACAAUUGGGUGUCCGCACUAAGUUUGGCAUCAACAUGGUACCUCCCAGGAACAAGGGACCACUAGGUUGCCUAAGAAGGGGUGAACUGCCCAGGUUAGAAACAGCAGGUCAAAGCUCCCAUGCUGAUCAGUAGUGGCAUCACACCUGUGAAUAGCCACUGCACUCCAGCCUGGGCAACAUAGUGAGACCCCAAUCUCU